GCUCUGAGGCCUGCGUCCUUUUUCGCUCCGGGUGUGAGACACUGGCCUGGUGUGAGAUGCUGGCCUGGUCUUGAGUUGCUGAGUGUCCGCCCUUGACUCUGACUGGCCCGGUCAUGUGGUCAGCAGGUCCCCCUGGGACUGUGGUUCGGUUUCCCCGCCCAGAAAAUGUGGGACGCGGAAGGACGUCUGUGCAGGCGGGAGGAUAUGGAGUCAUCUGAGGCUGGGAUAGCACUGAGGCCUGUGGAGCCAGCCAGGGACCAUUCCGGGUGUCAAACUUGUCCUUGGAUGAAUAUCAGGGGUAACUACCACCAAGUUCUGACUUGUUAAGGUCAGAGAAUUCUGGAGUGAGGAAGACCGCAGAAUGACACAGAACUUGGCCUGCAGUGCUUUCUGUAGACCACUCAGCACCGCUGUCUGCUGGGGCCUUGGCGUUCCUCUUCCCACACAG
ensembl:lncRNA